rnacentral:rRNA from 1 species
UACGGAGGGUGCAAGCGUUGUCCGGAUUUAUUGGGUUUAAAGGGUGCGUAGGCGGCCCAUUAAGUCAGCGGUGAAAGCCCGGGGCUCAACCCCGGAACUGCCGUUGAUACUGGCGGGCUUGAGUUCGGUGAAGGCGGGCGGAACUGGCGGUGUAGCGGUGAAAUGCUUAGAUACCGCCAAGAACCCCGAUUGCGUAGGCAGCUCGCUGUGCCGAAACUGACGCUGAGGCACGAAAGCGUGGGGAGCGAACAGG